rnacentral:rRNA from 1 species
GUUAAACCAAUAAACUAAGUUAUAUAUGCCGGUAAAAAGACAGUUAAACAAAAAUUAGCUAAUUGAUUAUUUAUAUAAAAGUAAAAUUGAUAUAAAUAUAAUAACAUGGCAGCAGCUUAAUUGUUGAAUCUGUGACACCUUUAGGGGAAACUGGGAUUGGGUACCCCAUUAUUUAUUGGCGUAAAUAAAGAGAUUUACCAGAGUACUACGAAUAAAUAAAAUAAUUUAAAACUCAAGGGCUUGGCGGUAUUUUAGACCUUUUAGGGGAACCUGUCCCAUAAUCGACAAUCCGCGUUAAACCUUACCUUUUUUAGCCGUCAGCUUGUAUACCGUUGUCAUCAGGUAACUUUUAAAGAAUAGGAUAGUUAGCAAAAAAACUUAUUUAAUUAAGAUGCCAAAUCAAGGUGCAGCCUAUAAAAAGGAGGGGAUGAGUUACAAUUACGAAUCAUAAUACGAACGGUAAACUGAAAAUAGCCCGAAGGAGGACUUAAAAGUAAAUUUUGUGUAUCUAUAUAAAUAAUUUGAACAAGGCCCUAAAAUGUGCACACAU